GUGCUCACUUUGGUAGCACGUGCACUGAAAUUGGAACUAUACAGAGAAGAUUAAUGUGGCCCCUGUGCAAGGAUGAUGCAGCAUCAGGCUGUAGGAGAAAUGCCGGAUUUGA
ensembl:snRNA U6 U6 spliceosomal RNA